AAUGAUGAAUAGGACAGUCGGGGGCAUCAKUAUUCMAUUGUCAGAGGUGAAAUUCUUGGAUUUAUUGAAGACUAACUACUGSGAAAGCAUUUGCCAAGGAUKUUUUCAUUAAUCAGGAACGAAAGUUAGGGGAUCGAAGACGAUCAAGAUACCKUYGUAGUCUUAACCAUAAACUAUGCCGAYUAGGGGAUCGGACGAUUUUMUUCUUGAMUCCGUKCGGCRCCUYACACGAAAGUAAAGUUUYUGGGUUCUGGGGGGAGUAUGGUCSCAAGGSUGAAACUUMAAGAAAUUGACGGAAGGGCACCACCAGGGGUGGAGCCUGCGGCUUAAUUUGACUCAACACGGGGAAACUCACCAGGUCCAGACACAAGUAGGAUUGACAGAUUGAGAGCUCUUUCUUGAUUUUGUGGGUGGUGGUGCAUGCCCGUUCUUAGUUGGUGGAGUGAUUUGUCUGCUUAAUUGCGAUAACGAACGAGACCUUAACCUGCUAAAUAGCCCGUACUGCUCUGGCAGUACGCUGGCUUCUUAGAGGGACUAUCGGCUCAAGCCGAUGGAAGUUUGAGGCAAUAACAGGUCUGUGAUGCCCUUAGAUGUUGUGGCCGCACGCGCGNUACACUGACAGAGCCAGCGAGUACUCCCUUGGCCGGAAGGCCCGGUAUCUUGUAACU
rnacentral:rRNA from 1 species